rnacentral:rRNA from 1 species
GACGAACACUGGCGGCGUGCCUAAUACAUGCAAGUGGGACGCAAGGAAACACACUGUGCUUGCACACCGUGUUUUCUUGAGUCGCGAACGGGUGAGUAACGCGUAGGUAGCCUGCCUAUUAGCGGGGGAUAACUAUUGGAAACGAUAGCUAAUACCGCAUAAUAUUAAUUAUUGCAUGAUAAUCGAUUGAAAGAUGCAAGCGCAUCACUAGUAGAUGGACCUGCGUUGUAUUAGCUAGUUGGUAAGGUAAGAGCUUACCAAGGCGACGAUACAUAGCCGACCUGAGAGGGUGAUCGGCCACACUGGGACUGAGACACGGCCCAGACUUCUACGGGAGGCAGCAGUAGGGAAUCUUCGGCAAUGGACGAAAGUCUGACCGAGCAACGCCGCGUGAGUGAAGAAGGUUUUCGGAUCGUAAAGCUCUGUUGUAAGUCAAGAACGUGUGUGAGA